UGGUAGCAGUGGUAUUCAAACCCAUGCCUCUUUGAGACCGGUGCCUAAAACCAGUGCCUCAGACCACUCAGCCAUGCUACU